rnacentral:tRNA from 1 species
GCUAUUGGUACUAAACAACCUUGCCAAGGUUGAAGUCGAGGGUUCGAAUCCCUUCGCCCGCUCCA